CCUACGGGUGGCAGCAGUGAGGAAUAUUGGUCAAUGGGCGGAAGCCUGAACCAGCCAAGUAGCGUGCAGGAUGACGGCCCUACGGGUUGUAAACUGCUUUUAUACGGGAAUAACGCGCCUUACGUGUAGGGCUUUGCAUGUACCGCAUGAAUAAGGACCGGCCAAUUCCGUGCCAGCAGCCGCGGUAAUCCGGAAGGUCCGGACGUUAUCCGGAUUUAUGGGGUUUAAAGGGAGCGUAGGCCGCAUGUCAAGCGUGCUGUGAAAUGUCCGGGCGCAACCCGGGCCGUGCAGCGCGAACUGGGGGGCUUGAGUCCGGGGAGAGCAGGCGGAAUGCGUGGUGUAGCGGUGAAAUGCUUAGAUAUGACGAAGAACCCCGAUUGCGAAGGCAGCUUGCUGCAGCGGAACUGACGCUGAUGCUCGAAAGCGCGGGUAGCGAACAGGAUUAGAUACCCUUGUAGUC
rnacentral:rRNA from 1 species